rnacentral:rRNA from 1 species
GCGGAGACUUACUGUGCUUAAUUGCACCACAUGUGUUGUUCUUUGAAACAGACUUGCUUUGGCGGUGGGCCCAGCCUGCCGCCAGAGGUCUAAACUUACAACCAAUUUUUUAUCAGCUUGUCACACCAGAUUAUUACUUAAUAGUCAAAACUUUCAACAACGGAUCUCUUGGUUCUCGCAUCGAUGAAGAACGCAGCGAAAUGCGAUACGUAAUAUGAAUUGCAGAUAUUCGUGAAUCAUCGAAUCUUUGAACGCACAUUGCGCCCUCUGGUAUUCCGGAGGGCAUGCCUGUUUGAGCGUCGUUUCUCCCUCAAACCGCUGGGUUUGGUGUUGAGCAAUACGACUUGGGUUUGCUUGAAAGACGGUAGUGGUAAGGCGGGAUCGCUUUGACAAUGGCUUAGGUCUAACCAAAAACAUUGCUUGCGGCGGUAACGUCCACCACGUAUAUCUUCAAACUUUGACCUCAAAUCAGGUAGGACUACCCGCUGAACUUAAGCAUAUCAAUAACGGAGAAAAAAACCAAGA